GCUCCCGGACUGCUGAGCAGAAGCAGUGAGGGUGAGCCGAGUUGCUGCUCUGUACCCGCCUGGCGGAGUUAUUCCCUGUGUCCCAGUGUAAGCUGAUACGAGUUGCUGAACUCUUGCUGCCCAUCCUGCCCUCCCCAGGCUGUGGCUGGAGGAACUUUACUCCCCCCAGUUGAAGCAUGCGUGGAACUGUGCUGGGUUUUGUAGCAUUGUGGCACGCGUUAUGGGACACACACCAGUGCUAAAGCAGCACAGGUGGAGCAGCUGUUCUUACAGCCAUAGAGACACUCCUCUGAUCAUCACCUCUGAGGGGGAGGGGUAACACAAGUGAGCACCAAUGUGCAUGUUUGAGGAGAGUAGGUGAAUUAAGCUUUUUCCUUUGGGCUCUUGUGCCAUAAUAAAAUGCCCUUUCAAUUUCUUGUUGAAUUGGCUUUGGAGAUCUUCCAGAUCUAUUUCCUUUGAGCUUUUUUUGUUUUACUUCCAUGAUUUCCUCUAGAAACAGGAGGGUAUUAUUUCCUGUGUUGAUGGAAACCGUUAAACUUUUUAAGAGUUGAAUAGGUGGAUAAAAACACUGUGGCUAUAAGUGCCUUGUUGGUAUGAAUGUACUAAGAACAAUUUGUUUUCAGAAAUGUCUUUUUUCUUUAAUUUUUAAAGCUGGUGGGGUUUUGAAAGCAGCUAAGGCUGUCCAAUAAUUCUGUACUGCUUUUUGAGGGCAAAGCGACUGGAAGUUAUUUAUACAUUGGCAUUGGUGUUGCUACCUGUAAGAUAGGUUUGGUGGCAAGAAACUGCAAACAUACCAGCCCUGUAUCAAUCUCUUCUGUAAUGAUGUGAUUGUGGGGGUGUACCUGUUUGUUAACGGUCUUAUUUAAGGAUUAAUGUGCAUAUCUGAAAAGAGUAGCUUGCAGUGUUAAUACCUGACUUGUAGGGGCAGCCCUGAGGUUGGGCGUUCUGUUUCUGAAGGCUGCUGAUGAAAGGUUUGAUACCAACAACUUUUGGGGAACUGCAGCUGGAGCUGGACUGGCAUGCCUUUGUGUGAAGCCUUCACUCAGAUUAUGAGUGCAGUUGGGGGUUAGGAGAAAGCAAAUGGAGUAGAAUAACUGAAUGCUGAGUUCUGGAUGUUAUUAGGCAAUCUUCAUUAUUCCUUGACCUUACUUCCCCAAAUGCUGAUGUGCUUUAAGCAGAGCUUGUCUUUCGCAAAUGAUGGUAAGAGCAUUCCUAUUAAAGAAACUUAAUCAGUAAAAAUGUUAAAUGGAAGCAGCAUUUCUUCAAACAGGCUUAUUAAAGAUUUUCAUCACAGAAACAGAUGAUUCUGCUCUUCUUUGCAGGACGCUAUAGCAGUAGCUGACUUUGGCUGAGUAAUUUCAGGUUUUUGAGCCAGGGAGCUAGCAUGGCUUAGAAUAAAUAACAAAAAGAAAUGUUGUUAUACUUCACUGUUUCUGAGAUUCUUGUGGGUUGGGUUGUUUUUCAGGUACACGGGAACCUGAGACUUGGGGAUGUUCUGCUCCGUUAUUAAGGCUGUGAUAAGUGAUGAGGUGAACAGCUGACACCCUUAACCUGUACUUUAUAAAUUGCUAUUGCGUGAAAAUUAGAAGAAUUGCUCCAGUCAAAAGGCUGAGUGACGUGAAGUUUUGUUACCACUGGCAACAAUGUGUGAAGUACAUCCUCAAGGGAAUGAGGAUAGUGAAAGUGUCAGUUAUUAACUGGAUUCAAGUGAUGUAGGACUGAUGGAAUUUGUUUCUGACUUGUUCUAUUUUUUAUUCCUCUGGUGUUGAAUACAGAAGAGUUCUUGGGUAAAGGUCUGCUCUCAUUCCAUUGGUGUUUUUAACUCUGAGAGGUUCAUAUCUUUAAUUAUUCUGUGGUAUUUGAGGGAUUGAUUGUGGCCAAAAGAAACUUGUGACAAAGUAUUAUUAAUCACCUUUCAAAAUAAGUCAUCUACACUAUUUGCUGGGACUUCAAAUAGGUGUUGGUGUGUCUGGUUUGGGCUUUGUGUUGUUCUGAAGGAGCUGGAGCCAGUGAGUCUUAGCUGCUGGUACUCUCUAGUGCCAGUACUCCUGCAGGCUCUGACAAGGUACUUCAAACAGCUGAUGAGAUGAAAGUGAUUUUUAUGUAGGUGCUGAACAAGCUAAGGAGUUUGUUCAAGCUGGAAACCAAACAUUUGCAUGAACACAGAGCUGAGUGUGGCUGGGUGUGAUGAGUGGUAAGGCCCAUGGUUAAACUAAUGUGAAGCUGCUCCAGGUACUGGAUGGGAGGGAGUACUGGACCUUAAAUGCUCUGGGUCAAUACUGUUGCUAAAAGUCCACUUGGGUUAUCCUGAUGUUUAUCUGACUGUGUAGCAGAUGAGGGGAUUUCACUGUCAGGAAAGAAUUCAUCCAUUUAAUGGCAUUGAGUUGCUGUCCCUUUGGCCCCCUAAAGCAGCAUGCUGCACAUCUGUGCACCACUUCUGGCUUGAGGGAAGGCUUGUGUGGUUUGCAGGACAUACAGGACAGUCCCCCUUGGUGCUGCUAGCUGCAAUGUGAAGUUGAACUGCAUGAGGAUAAUUAGCUACUCAAUGAAACAGUUACCCAGCUUGUCCCCUGCAUGUGGUGGCUGUCCCAGCACGUGCCGGGUAUGAGAGAUAUAUAUGUACACAAGGUUAAGGAAUGACCAGUGAGCAUUUUUUAUUUCUAUGAUGAGAUCUAAAUAUGUGUAUAAACUCGCAGUACAGUUACUUGCUUUAGUUGAAUGGGUUCUCAGUGUUAAAUAAAUGGUGGUCGGUAGAGUUGAAUUAGCUCUGUCCUGUCCUCUUCAGAUAAGUCGCAUGGAAUUAGCUAGUGUUUUUGUGGAUUUUUGUUUGUUGCUCAGAAAAGAAACAUUAUUUAGCUUGGAAUUUCCUCGGUUGCUGUUUCAAAGCCGUGGGGAUAAGAAGGCAUGAUGAUUUUUAGCCCUGGUGUAGUGUUUGCUGAAAACAAGGCAUGUGAGUGGAUGUUCUGUAAGAACGAACUGGCUGUUCCAUUUGUGUAAGAGCAGGUGAAGUAAUCAUCUCAUGGUUAUGAUUCUGGGGCCAUCGUUAUUUGUUGAUGCAAAGCUGAAUUUCUGAUUAAGUGAAAUCAAGAGCAUCCCACACCAGUGCUCAGAAGACGUGGUGUCUGGCAUCAUGAAUGGGAAAGUCAAGUGUCAGUCUCCAUAGCUGGGAGAGCAGAGGAGAGAACUGUGACAAAACAAGUUCUGGUAAUAGCAUGAGAAUAUACAACAGAAAAACAAAUCAGCAUCAAGCCAAGUAUUGGAAACAGUAAACUGUGAAUCUUCUUUCACACUUUUAACUCUAGAGUUUGCUAACAUUGCAUUUCUGCUAUGAAGGCGGGUGGGGGAAGUGUUCCCAGUAUGGGAUAAGUGGUGCACCGAGGUAGGAGGAAGUUUGUGUAUUAAGUAUGUUUUAGUGGUGUUUUUUAAUAAUACUACAAACCUCUUUCCGUGGUGCGGUGGUGGUUUUCUACUUCUCCACAGCUAGCUUUUCUUUAAGAACACACACCUCCUUGUAUUUGUUUUCACCUAUUCAGGGCGUUGACAAGGACGUCUUCUGUUACCGAACAGAUGGAAGUUCAGAAUUCAGGAGUUAAUCUAAGAAGAUGUUCCUUGUAAAGCUACCACUGCAUUGAAUACAUGAGUGUCUUGCUCUCAUAAGUCAAAUUAUAUAGGAUUUCUACAGUGGAUGAAUGUAUCUUUGAAGUCUCGAACUAUGUAGACAUUUUUAAGUGCUCUUAAGUUCUCCUGUAGGGUAUGUAUUUUAAUGAGUGAGUUCUACAUUAGUUCUUGCUUGUUGCAUCUCAGUGUUUGUGAUCAUUGCAGCAAAGGAGGGCUCUUAAACAGGAUCUGAAGCUCUGUGAUUCCAAACAGUUAACCCGGGAAUAACUUGUCAGGCUUAGUGGAGGUUGUGGAGCACUACACGAUACCAUGUGCUCACUUCUUCUGCUGGAGUUUAAACUUUGCCAGGGCAAGAUCAAAUAAUAGCCGUAGAAAUGAAGAUGUUCUUCAUCUGUGCCUGGGUAGCAAUGUAGUUAUCUAAAAGUAUGACAUAGUGGGUUCUUGUCAGCCCUGGCAUCCAGUUUAUUUCUGUGGCAGGUAACCAUAUCAAUGGCUUUUGGAGCAGACUGCUGGCUCAGGCUGUUACUGCAGUAUGCUGUAGUUGGAAUUGCACGUCUUAUGCUAUGGCUGAAAUGGAGCUGAGACAACCAAUAUUUGCCUUAAUCCUCACUGUUUCACUACACGGGAAUGAAUUUGUCUUUAACUAUUCUUCUGCUCAGUUUAAUUAAGGUAGAAGAGUAAAUAUUCUGCAAUUCAUAUAAGAUAUGAAGAAGCAACGUCAUAAAUAUCCCUUGUUAGAAAAAUAAUCAGAAUCUGUGGGAUUUAGAGUUCUCUAUUUCCAGACUCGUGGGAAAGAAUCUCAUCUUUCAUUAACAGAAUAAAUGUUUAGCUUUACAUUGGAAGGAAAAAAACCUGAAAAUGUCAAGUCAGCUUAUGAGAUAAUCCUAAUUUUUUUUCUGGUAUUCAGAUUUCCUCCCACUUAUGACUAUUUUAGGGCCCUCAGUUACUGGAAUCUUUUCCAGUGUUUUUCAUUUCUGACAUCACUUGAGUUGUAGGGGGAUAGAAGCUGAAUCUCAGGCCGUGGAGUUACAGAAAUUUAGGUCAGUAUUGGCUGUGCUACUUGCAUCCUUCUUUCCCGUGCCAGCUGCUGUGCUUGCUUCAUGCUGAACCAUUUCACCUGGUGUCAACUAAAAACAUACAUCAAUGCAAAACUACUGUUUCUUUAGCAUGUUAAUACACUGACAUUGUCUAAUGACCAGAGCUCUGCCAGUCUGAAGAUGCUGUGAUUGAAGUAGGUGGUAGUUAAAUAGGUUUAGGCUAAUCUCGCCUUUGGCAAUGGAGGACUGUUGUUUGUUCCUUCUAGGCUUGGCUUCUCUUCACUUGGGCAGAUGAUCUCAAAACUCUCAACGUCAGUCUGCUAGCAGAGAGAGUCCAGCUAGCAAGAACUGCUGGUAUCUGGGGGUGGCUCAUGUAAAUUUGUAUAUUGUGCUCACCACUGGUAGAAGUGGGAGGUUCCAUAUGCAUUCUUGCCUUUUUAUUUUUAUAAGCUCUGAUGUUUGAGCUCUCUGAGUCUUUUGAAGUAUGUAGCUGAGAUGGUGGAAGAUACCCAUCUUCUGUUCUUUCAUGCUCUUCUCCCAAAGGGAAGAAUUGCAGGGUUAGAAAAACUCAAUGAAAAGCCCACGCAUGGCCACAGGCAGGUGAGAAAGGAGCAAGCCUCUGUGGUUCAGUAGUCUUGUACCCUGCCCUUAAAUCUCGUUUGUAUCCAAAUACAUGAAGGUUCAGAAUGAGGCCUGAAAUGUUUGUGUUCUGCUGAAACUAAAUGUGGAAGAAAAAUCAUAUACUUUAAGCUCAGAAUAUGGGAAAGAUGGAAGGGAGAAGAAAAGCUGCUGAAUCAUUUGUUUGUGAUUCCUGAGUUUUUAAAUGCCAGUUUGGAGUCCCACAUAGGGCCUGAUUUAUCCUGCUUUCUGGAAUGCGAUGUUUUUGGACAAAAUGGCAUCAAUUUGAAAGUCGUUGAUUACUUGGACUUGCUGUCACUCAGUUCUGAGAACUACUUAGAGGUCUGUGUUCAGUCUGAAAGUGAUUGCAGGAGCUGCAUUUGUUUAACUUCUCAAGAGGAUAAGUUUAUCAAAUCACAGCCUGAUCAGAAUUUAUUGAUAAGCACUAUUAGCAUAUGGGCUCUAGCAUAAAAAAGCAGAACAAAAUCCAGCUGACGGCUACCAUGGGAAGCUGUACAAGGUCACUGUGUUACAAUCAAUCCUUACAACAGGUCUCAGUAACCAUUAUGUAACAUUUCCUUUAAGGUAAGUUAGUUGCGUGAUCUCAUUCCCAAUUAAGAGCAACUUGCUUUCUGUCCCGAAGCCGUUCCUCAGGAGGAUUACUGGAAAGACAUGUAUCAGAAGCAUGUAGGAAACAGCUGCUUACAAGAAACUUUCCAGCAUUUUCCUGAAGGUUGUUCCUAUACUGCUGUUAUUUGGAAGAGUAUUGUGUGUAUUGAUAUGCAAAUAGUGCACAGAAAGGGGUUACAUCUUCAUAUUGAUGAGUGGGAAGACAGAAGAGAUUGGAAAUCUCUUGCAUUUCCUAUGCAUUCAAAAAGACAGAAUUUCAGCUUUUAUCACAAUGUCUUAUUAUAGACUUCUGAGAAUUAUGUAUGCAGAACCCUUUUCUCUUCAUUGAUGUGAAAGUGUUUAAUCUCUACUCUGAGGUCAGUAGCGUUAGUCAGAUAAGUGUCUAUAAUUGAGUUCUUAUAGAGACAUUUAAUUAAUGCCUUUUAAAAUGUAGGCAUGCAGUACUCUGUAGCUGUGUUGCAUUGUUCUUUCCUCCCAGCUCGAGCGUCUGCUGAGAGAGGACAGUGCAGUGCUGAGCAGCAGGACUGUGGUAGCACAGCCUUGCAGCAGUGCAUUAUCUGAAGGCUGCUGUGGGAAAGGUACGCUGGUUAUCACAGGCAAAUAUUACUUAGCGAGCUGAGAGUUUACAGUAGGAAAUGUAUCAGUCAUACCUGUGGUUUUGAGACUUGGAAUGUAAGUGUCUGCUUCUGAACUUGCUCAGUAGCAUCUCAGUAGUUCAGCUACAUUUGUAUAACAUUGUAAUUGAAAAUAUAGAACCUUGAGGAAUCAAAGGCUUUUGCAAAUCAGAGUAACGAGUUUAGUGGCAUUUACUUGUGUUUCUACUGCUAAAUAGCUUAGAGUUUAAAAGAUAAACGAAGCACUAAGUAAUCAUCCCAAAUAAGCCAGACAGUACAUCAGCAAAAGCUGACAAGGAAUUAGGCAGUUAUCUUUGAGGGAACAAAGCGAGAAUGACAAAUCAGUGGAACAGUUGAUACAUCAGUUGCUUUUUGGCUGGUGAGUGUGUAGGAGGUGUUGCCACUGUUUGUGUUCAAUGCAGUGGCAAACCAUGAUUUGUAACUAGUUUUGGCCAGGAAUUCAGAAUUAUGGGAGGUUUGUGGACGUCCACAAGGAGGUGAUACCAUGUGGGACAGGUGAUAGAGCUGAAAGAGGUUGUAUUGAAGAGAGGAAACAAAGGCUAACAGGAUCUGGUUUUCUUAAAGCCAUAGUGAGAAAUUAAGGCAUCAGGUAGUGGUUCUUGGUGCAAAAAUGAAUUUAUCUAACUGUUGCAGUCUCUCAGUCACUAGCUGAAGCUUUUUAUUAUUAAAUUAAGUUCAAGUUUUAGGACAUUGCUCCUUGUUCUGUCACUGCACACCACUGAGAAGAGCCUGGCCUCAUCCAUUUGCCUCUCUUUUCAGAUUUAAGUUCCUACUGCCAUACACAUAACCCUCUUGUGAGGCUAGAAAUGAAAACUUACAUGUGAUGAAGAACUUGAUGUUACAGUAUCUUGUUCUUGGUCCCUCAGUUGUCAUCUCUAUGAUCUUGUAGAGUUAUAUGCAGUUUGCUAUGCCUUGUCAUCCACUUGAAGGACAGUGAGUGCUGAACAAGUGGGCUAAUUAGCAGAGUAGCAAGCACAGCAACCCCGAGCUAAUUGUUUGUUGGAAGAAAAUUAAAACUGCUCGUGAAUUAAGCCUACUUAAAAUCUCUGAAAUAUGAAUUCUGCAUAGUGAGCCUAACGUAUAAGUCCUGUCUGAAGUGGCAGCUUGCCAUUAUUUUCUACAGUGCUUUGAAACGGUUUAAAUUGGAGUAAGUACUUCUUUUACUCAGAAUGGAAACCAAGUCUGAGCUGAAUGUGGUGGGGGAGGGAGGCAGCCUUUGUGUGGGGUGCUGUGAUAGUCGAAGUCCAAAUGUAGCUCCGCUUACUGGAGGCAAAGUCCUGCUUUCCUCAUUAAGGUGCUCUCCAGAUUGUUCUUGUUAAUAGAUGAAUCAAGUGAACACUUACUGUAGUUGUGUGCUUUCCAUCUCUGAUACACUACUGGAAGAAUUGUUUAGUCAAGGCUGGAAGGGGUCCAUCAUAGAACAUCCCAAGUUGGAACGGACCCAUAAGGAUCAUUGAGUCUGUCUCCUGGCUCCAUGUAUUGCCUGAUACUCUUCUCUAUCCUUGUGGCAAUUGAAAGGAAUGUUUUCAGCUGCUUCUGCAUGCUGUUUUCUACUCGUCACAGUGUCUCCCAUAAGAACAAGCAGUGUUUAUUGCUGCAGUGGCACAAAAGCCAUCAAUGAGGAUGGCAAAUUUGCUGGUUUGCUCCUGUGUUGACCAGAAACUUUGAGCUGGACAGUCUGCCCUGGUGGUCUGCACACUCAAUGGUUUUUUUGUAGAGCAUAUUCAUUGUUCUUAGGAUCAGAAUAUUUUUCCACACGAAGUCUUAACUCUGAGUGAUAAUAAGUUUGAAAAGAAGUGAUAUUUGAGAUCUUAGAAGCAAAACCAGGAAAUACAGCAUAAGGACACAUUACUCACUGUGAGUGUGAGUGGAAAACUUACAGUGGUGGACAGAAAUUGGAUUAGAACAUACUGUCAUCCAUAAAAUAUUUCUGGAGGUCCUUUGAGUUUGGGCUUUUCUCAUGUUGUUCCCUUUUUGUUCCUGUGGAACUGGGUGGGGCUGGCCUACGAAGAAGUGUGGUGACUGACACAUGGCUUUGCUCAUUAAUGGUUUGCUGGGUGGGUCUUAGCAAAAUGGCUUGGAAUCUGCCGAAUUUUCUUUUGUGGCUGAGAGGUAUACAUUUAUGUAUACAAAGUGGGAUUAUGAGGUAGAACUGGAAAGUGCUGCCAGGAAGCAUUUUGAAACAGGUGUGUGAACAAGUUGGUGGGGAGUGAGACAUGGGUACUUGAGCAGAGUACAGUUUCAGUGGGAAGUAGAUGCUUCUUGCUUAGUAACUGUAACGCUCCUACUGUCCAAAAAUCCCAUUUUCACGGGCUAAAGUUUGGAAAAGCUUGAUUUAUUGGUGUAAUUGGAAAUAAUAAGCUUCCCCUUUUAGGUAUCAUUUACAUUCUGAAGCACAAGACCUAGUUACACUGUGGAUGGGAGAUGAGCAGCAUUGCUCCGUUGUCUCCCAGGACUCACUGCACAGUGCAGCCUGGUUCUGAAGGUUUGUCCCCUGCUGCAUUUAUUGGAGCUGUGGCAGAGAUGGCCAGCCUGCUGGGGGAGCUGUGUGCUUGCUGGGGGAGGACCAGGGUCCAUAUUUGUGUGUUUUGUUACAAAAAAGCAAGCUCACUGUAGAUGCAGACUAAACCUGCAGGAUUCUUCUUGGCAGGAUUACCAUGGGAUGUCAGAAUGCCAUGUGCAUGUUUUUUCUAUGGUUAUACAUAGAUGACCCUUUCUAGAGGUCAGGAAGCAGUUCCAGGGUGGGAAUUAGCCUUUCUGGCCAACUGCUAAAGACCAGGGAAGCCAAAUUUCCAUUACAGCAACAAAUGUUUAAUUUCAGGAAGUCUGUAAGCUCAAAUGUGAUUGUUAAAGCAUUCAUAAAACUGUAAUGCUUUCUACUUUUACAAUUGUAAUGUUGAAAAUGCAGUGUCAUGCUUUUUCUGGGAUGUGCAGGGAGGAGUAAAAGUACAGCUGGGAAUGCUUUUUGGGAGUAGCCCUUUCUAAAUGAAAUGAGAGUGCUGGUGGCUGAAAAGACAAUUGUCUAACCCAACUGCAAAGCCCCUGAGCUAAUGCUUGGGGUUAAAUGUGGUCACAGAUCUUCAGGAAUUACCUGAAGUACAGUGCUCAUUUCUGCCAGGCUGCAAAAGACAACCAAGGGGAGGAAGUUUCCUGAGGUGGUAGUACUGUGCCUGCAUUUACAUUGGAAAAUGUUUCAGUUCCACAAAUCCAAAAAUACAAGAGUAUUGCCUAAUGUUGUGUUUUCUACCAGUUUCCCUUGUCUCUGUUUCUGUUUGAGGCGACGAGCUUCUAAUUACUAGGUUGUAUGGAGGUGAGAUCGUAUGUUGUAGCCCUUCUGGAAUACAUGUGUUUUUCCUCUUUCUCACUUUAAUGCCAUAUAAACCAGUGUGUUAUUGACCCUCUGUCAUGGAUCUUGUGGCUUCGGUUCUCACUUCUCCUUCCAGUAAGACCCGCAUAUCGUAUGUUGCAGUCAGGUUGUCACAGCUACCUUUGUGGGUCUGAAAUGGGGUAAUGCUGGGCAGUGAGCGGGUAACCACAAGAAGAAAUAGUGCAUCAAGUGGUUUUUGUGGUGUCCACAAUAAAAGGGUUAAGGUUAGUAGCAUUUUUGAGACUGUUUAUGGAGUUCAGUUGUAUUCUUAGCUCUUACAAAUUUUGUAUACGACCUUCUUUAAAACAGCUGUGAUUCUUUAGCCAUAUAUAGAGAUGUUGGGAUAAUAUUUGUUUUAUCUCAGAGAAACCAUAUUUACUUAAGUAUAUAUGGAAACAAGCUCGUCAAAAGGAAAUUUAAAAGCAGUAUAGGUCUUUGCUAUUUGUUAAAUAUGGUAAAUAUUCAAACCUGAAUGCCAAAUACCUUUCAGAGCAUUUAAAAGUAAAGAUGAAUUAGGAACCAUUUAAGUGUAAGUGUUUGAGACUUUGGCUAUGACACAUGACAACUCCACCCUCCCGUCAGUUCAGUCUUCAGCUGAUAUGAAAACUUUUACAUUCUCUUUCAGGACUAGAUGUAUUGUGUACAUAGAUCAACUCUACUUUUCAGAGCUUGUGUGUUUCCUGCCUUCAAUUCCUUGUUUAUAGCGCCUGAGGAGCAGCAAUGAAAGAGGGAAGUUGGAAGCAGUUUAAACGUUAUAGGUCUUAAUCACAUUUGUUCUGGGUUCUUGUUUGCUCUUUGGCUCUGAGCUCUGCUCUAUUCUUAGUCACUAUUUUCCCUUUUCCCGUUUUGGCUUCUUGCAUGUGAUAAAAGAAAAAAAUGAUAGGCACAAAGAAGAGAUUGUGGCAUCAGUAAGGAAGGCAGUGGUAGAAGUGAGCGACUGUCUUCAGAGCAAUUCAUCCAGUCUGCUGGAGAUGGCCUGGGAGUCAGAGGAAGCAUUGCAAAUGUUUGUAUGCUGUUUUAAGCACUCAGUCUAGGAUGUUCAGAUGUGUUGCUGACAUGGCUUCUUUCUUUUUAAUCCUACUUCAGCAGCAGGAUGAAGUAUUUUUGGUUUGUAUGCUGCAGAUGCACCAGAAACAUGCUCUGUGCCUGCCUCUCUACCUCCCAGACAUCUCUCAUGCCUGAUUUAUGCUUAGAACUGGGAAGUGGUCAGCCUGCUCCAGUAGGUCUGUGCCAUGGGCGGAUAUCUCCCUUGUUUUGAAGUCAUGAUACAACGUGGCAUCAUUUCCUCUUGCCUUUAGAAGAUGAAGGAGAGGAUAAGUAAAGCUUUCUCUAACUUAUCUGCAUUCUCUUAUCAAUGGCUUUAUAGGGCCACAGAAGUACAUGGGUUCUCACAGGAUGUGAAAAUGUGUGUGCUUUCUCCCUUGGUGCGAGGGGAAUCCCGGUGUGUGCUCAGUGGGAGCAUGCAGUUAGUAGUCUUUGAGUUUCCCUAAAGCCUUUUGUUGGUGUUCUAACUGUAGUCUUUCCCUGUAUAAGUUCUUUACACGUUUCAUCUUGUUAGAAAAUCUUGUUAGGAAUAGUCAGAGGAACAAACUGCACUUCCAGGAGAGAGAAUGCUUUGUGGAGAUGCUUUCUAAGGAUGGUACUGUCCUUUCUAUUUCUGUUCCUUUUCAUGAAUCCAGACAAGGCUCUCCGAGUGCUGUCUACUGAUUUCUUCAUAGUUGCUUGAGCCUUGUAUCUUCUUUUGUGCUUGUUUUCCUUUUUCUGUCCUAAUCUGAGGUUCAUACCAUUUAUCUUCCGUGAUGCCAAUGGUGUGCUGUGUGGGAACCAUCCCAAAUUAAGGACUCUUUAGAACUGCCUUGUAUGAAGUGCACCAAAGCCUCUUUCUGAUGCAUGUUUAUCUGUUUCUAGAGAACUUUAAGAACAGAUGAGAAAAUCUAAGCUCCCCAAGCAGUCUAUUCCCAGUCUGCCCUGUUCUUUCUAUUAGGAAAAAAUGGCUAUUAUCAGUUCUGUUGGUCUUUUAAAGGGAAAGAAGUAGCAGAUCAGUGUGUAUCUUUCUGUUCUGCGCAGCAGAAAAGCUAAGAAAAAUGAUUUACUUUAAAUCAUAUUUUAAAACUUUUUUUGUGUUCAAAUAGUUCAAGGCAACAGCACACAUAAGAAAAAUGAGAACAGAAGCGUAUGGAAAUGGAGUCAUUUUUCUCUGAAGAUGAGUCCUGUCUGAAAAGGAGCAGAAUCGGUUGUCUGUUCUGUGUGAGAAUCAUUUAUUCUUCCCACACUUCAUUUCCUCUAACCUUUGUCCCUGUGCCAUAUCAGCGCAUGUAAAACAUCCAGUUCCAUGCUGUCGUUGUUGCUCUUGGGGUCAGAGCAGAUGCUUUUGUGUUGGGUCACGGAGCCUGUGAGGUAUGGAGAACUUGGUGGCUGGCUCUACUCUUCCUCCACUUUUUGCAGAUGAAGAUGGAUCUAAGGAAGGUAGUGAUGUUACUGUGACCGGAUUAGCUCAUUCUGAGAGCUCGUUCACUGGUGGAACUUCGCAGCCUGUGAAUAACCCAGAUUUGGUGGAGGAUUUGUCACAGGUUCAGCAGCUGCAAAAUGAGUCUACUAACACUGCUGAAAACACUGAGCAGAAGCCUGAGGAGGAGCAGCAAAGAACUAAACGAGGAGGCUGGGCGAAAGGGAGAAAGAGGAAGAAACCUCUUAGGGACAGCAAUGCCCCCAAGUCCCCCCUCACAGGGUACGUGCGAUUCAUGAAUGAGCGUAGGGAGCAGCUUCGAGCGAAGAGGCCCGAAGUCCCUUUCCCAGAGAUCACCAGGAUGCUGGGCAACGAGUGGAGCAAACUUCCUCCUGAGGAGAAACGGCGAUACCUUGAUGAAGCAGAUAGAGAUAAGGAGCGGUACAUGCGAGAACUGGAGCAGUAUCAGAAGACUGAAGCCUACAAAGUCUUUAGCAGGAAAGCACAGGACAGACAGAAAGGCAAAUCACACCGACAAGAUGGAGCAAGGCAGCCAGUCCAUGAUCAUGAGAAAGAAGCAGACACAAAAGAGAGAUCUGUUUUUGAUAUCCCAAUAUUCACAGAAGAAUUUCUGAAUCAUAGUAAAGCACGUGAAGCCGAGCUGCGACAGCUGCGCAAAUCCAACAUGGAGUUCGAGGAGAGGAAUGCUGCUCUGCAGAAACACGUGGAGAGUAUGCGUACAGCAGUGGAGAAAUUGGAGGUGGAUGUAAUACAAGAGCGUAGCCGCAACACUGUGCUGCAGCAGCAUUUGGAGACCUUACGGCAAGCGCUCACAACCAGCUUUGCUGGAGUCCCGCUACCAGGUAGUGGGGAAACACCCACGAUGGAAACUAUUGAUUCCUACAUGAAUAGGCUGCACGGCAUUAUUAUGGCUAACCCACAGGAGAAUGAGAACCUCAUAGCUACAGUCCGGGAUGUGGUGAACAGACUUGAACGCUAGUGACCAGGUCUCAUGAUCCGGGGAUACUUGACAAAAUUUCUUUGGCCAGUGUGGAAUAUGAAGCCAUGAGGGAAAGACGUGGGGUGGGAGGCAGAACUGCAGAGGAGAAAAAAAAAGUCCUUCCAGGAGCCCACUUUCUUUGUAUCAGAUGAAUAUAUAUGCAGUAAUUUGCCAGCUUAUUGGAGACAGAAGCUGAAAUAUGCUCGGAGCAGUUAUAUUCAACCAUAUGUUCUCUCUAGUUAGGAGCAGAGGAGAUAAAAAUCAAAAGCUGGUGAAGCUUUAGCACCUGCCUCGAGCACAGUUCAGCUGAUGAUAACCACCAGUCACUGCUCUCAGCAAGAGACCUGAUUCUACCCAUCAUGCUUGGACUGAGACAGGCUAGAAUCCAAAAAUGCAAAUACCGACCAGAAAACUGCUGUUUUCUUCUUAACCCUGGUUAUCAGCGGGCUGUGGAUGCUCGGGGAGUAAAGCCUGGUGACAGCGGGUUGUCACACUGGCAAGAUAGGAUUGUGCUCAGGACAGAGCAAGUUGAAGAAAGCAAAAGGGAACUCUGACUGGGAGAGCCUUGCAAUGGGACAGCAGCCAGAAGGGCACCUGAGCAGCAGAGCACUUUGGUAGCAGUGAGAAAAGUCAAUACGGGUUCUGAUAGCGCAGCAGCACUCAGCAGGCUCAUCGCUUUCUCUGACCUACAGUGCUGACAUCCAAACUGAAAGGACUACAUUUAAGUGUCAAAGAGAUUCCCAGCCAUCUGGUGCCUCACCAGCUGCUCUCGGUGCAGGAUGAAACUUAUCUCAAUUCAGGAACCCAGGCCUCGGGCAGUGGGGUGGAAGGAGCAUCGCUGGCCUCGCAAGUGCUGUCUGCAGGAUGCGCGCCCAGACUGGUCUACUGCUUGCAGUGCAGACGUUGGAAAUUGGAUGAAUCUCUCGUGGUAUCUCCCAGUUUGGUCAGCACAAGCAGAGCGUUUCCCCCGUGUUGCAGUGGAGAAAGACUUGGAUCAGCCCUGUUUGUCCCAUGCAGUGGCUCAUCAGAUGUUUCUAGAGAAGCUUCUGUGAUGUCCUUCCUUCAACAACCCGUGCACUUGGGCACCUGGACAGCAGUGAGUAGCAGCCUUGCUGAUGGAAAGAAGAUGCUGUCUGGAUGACUGGUUCCCAUGGAAAGCAAGGAAGCUCCCCGGCCGUGGCUGUUGUGCAUGUUGGAGGAGAUGCAUCACUGAAGGAUUAAAAUACAACUGCUGUGAGCUGGGAAGCAAAGCAGGCCAGGACUAGAAGCUGCCGUGGAAGGAGAGGCACAUGAUGAAGUCUCCAGAGCUGCCUGCUGAUGGGACCCACGGCCAGCAUCCUGCACCCUGCUCUGGGCACCCAGGGACCCCCAGCACUGCCCGAGUCCACCAGGAGACAGCCCAGAAACCUCAGGUGUCGUGGGGGGGAACACUGUACUUUGUUGAGGUUCACACUGCUCCUCUGAUCCUUGGCUCAGCUGAGUGCAUUGUUUUAAAGGGAAAGAGGAAAAAUCCCCUUCACGGGGCAAUAUUUCUUUAGUACCUCAGUAAUGUAGGUGGAUUGGGAAAUGAACCGUUCCCCAUUACAGUGGGACCUAACUGCACAGCCCAUGCUUUCCAGUUAAAAUUUGAUUGCCUUGAAUCCUGAAGAUUAUGGAAAAUAAGAAAAAGGCCCAGUAAAAUUUAUGGCUUUUAAUCAUAAAGCAGUAGAAUUGCAGUAAAUCUAUCAUAAGCAAGCAGAUAAGCAGCAAGGGACCCAGAAAAAAGGGAAGCCAUAGGCCUGGUUCUGGGUCUGGAGGAGCAGGGCUUCAGGGUGGAGCAGGGCUGCAGCUCCCACCUCCUCCAGGGUGCCCAUCCCACAUGUGCAGGGCCCUUCUGUGCCAUCCUGCAGAGUCAGGUGCCACGGGCCACAAGGCAUGGUCUGGUAGAGAGCUGGGCAGGGGUAGGGGGCAUGUAGAUAGUGAGGAGUGGUGAGGUGGGAGCAGGGGAUGGGGCAGGAUGGGGGAGACCAUCACUCCCAUUUUUAAGAAAGGGAGACCUGAAUAACUGCAGACUGGGAAGAUCGUGGAGAAGAGCCUCCUGAAAGAGAUGUUAAGGCACAUGAGGGAUGAGGAGGUGAUCCGAGGCGUCUAGUAUGGCUUAACCAAGGGCAGAUUGUGCCUGACCCAUCUGAUGGCCUUCUAUGAUGGAAUGAUGGCAUUGGUGUACAAAAACUGAACGUGCUCCUGCAGCCUGGAAGGCCAAUGGCAUCCUGGGAUUGUCCCCCCCUAUUCUGCCCUUAUGAGGCCCCAUCUGGAGUGCCUGCACCCAACUGGAGUUGUGCAGGCCUGGGGCCCCCAGCACAAGAAGGAUGUGGAGCAUCCCCUCCACACACAGGGUGCAGGAUGGGACCCACUGAGGUGUGUGAUGAGAGGAGACCAUGGAGAGCGAGGAGAGCACGGACAGGGGGAUGGCAGCAGGGAGGGAGGUGCACAGAGUGAAAAGCAUCUGUCUGUGCUGCACAGCCCGUGGUUACCUGACGAGCAGUGCUGGCAGGCAGCCCUGCUCUCACCUGGUUAAACUGCAAUAGAAACACACUGUAAAUUUCAGCAAAGGAGAGAGAAAGAGUUUAUUCUAUCUUUUUUUUUUCCCUCCCCAUCUUUAUGGCCAUGAAAAUUGCUGAUCUGAGAUGCUGGCCCUUUUAAAAUGCUUUUCUUCUGCUCCGUCCAUCUGCUUUAAUCACCCGAUGACUGCGGAAAAGAAAGGAUCCAGCAGCUCACAGAGCAUCAGAGAUAAAGAAGUGGAUGGUGCACUGCCAGAUUUCCAGACGAGCCUGGAAGCCAAAUUCCCUCGGACGUGCCUGAGGGUGCUUGCAAGUCUGACUGCCAGCUGCCAUGUGCCCAAAUCCUCCGUGAGAGUCAUUGCAGAAUUAUAUCUGACACCAGAGUCUAUCAGACAAAGUCCUUACAAACACAGGAGUCCUGAAGACAUCGGCUGAAUGUUUUCCUGGUAUAAAGAAGAAGAGGAGGAGAAAGAGGUGGUGACGGUGCAGGUGCAGAGAGUUUGGACUGGGGCGGAGGGCGUGGUGGAAGGAGAGAGGUCGGUAUGUUUGUACCAAUGUUUUUAAAUCACUUUUUUAUUUGUUCAUAGGUUCUCUUUGUUUAAAAAAACAAAAAACAAAAAACAAAACCCAAAACUAUUUGCAAA